rnacentral:lncRNA from 10 species
ACAGCCAUGGCUUAAAUGUUUUGGGUGAAAUACAAAGUAGUUCUAUUCAUUGCAACAUGUGUUUUGGAAUCUACUUCUGGAGUGAAGGCCUCUUAGUGUCAGCAGUUAAUUGAGGCUUGGCCCUGGGGAGAUAGGAAUAGCAUGUUGUCAUAAUAUGCUAACAGGCUACUGAAGAUGAUACAAAAACAUUACCUAUAGUAACAUACCAAUAACUUAAAGAUGUAAUUCAUCAAAUAGAGCAUGAUUUGUCAAUAUGUAGAACACAAGGUAUGUAAGAGUAGAAACAAAAUUACCAAAAAAGUAAUAGGUGAUCUAAAAUAAAUUAUAGCAAAAAAUUGCAAAUCCCAAUUCCAAACCCAAUUUACUUAAAAUUUUACUCUUAAUUUACUGAAAAGCAAUACAGUGCUUAAUUGUACAAAAGGCCACAUAUAUCUAAAGAAAUCUCUCCAUCUAUUACAGUAUGCUUGGAUGAGUCACUUUCCAUAGAUUUGCCAUCCUCAAAAGUACAGUGUCUCCAAUAAAAUGAGCUCAAGGAGAAGGAGAGACAUUUCCAUUGUUGUAUGAUAGAAGCUUUAUGUGUGUCACAGCAAUUACCACGGAGGGAGUGUCCGAUGCUUAAGGAGAAUGACAGAAUAGAAGGAAAUGCAAAAUUCAAGCACAGAUGAAAUGAUGGCAAAGAAAGAACCACCACGGUGUUUAAUGAACAAUGCUGCAACUAUUCAUUACGCCUCUUCUCCAGCUGAUCAUUAAGCUUUCAGCACUGUUUAUGCAACAGAAAAGGAAAUGUUGACUGAAGAUUUCAUACACUUACUAUUCACACAAAGAAGAAACCAUGAACAGUAUAAUCUGCAAUUAUAGUACCUGCCGAAACUGGAUCACUGUCAUUGAACCUGGUUAUUAGUUGUUGUAAGCACUGUCAGAGGCAAGAUAACUUCUGAAUUGGGGAUCUGUCUGGUAUGAUCAUUGGAGAUACGGACUUGAAAGCUCAUGAAAUAAAUUAUAUAAAAUUAAACUGGUUUAAACAAUAUCCAAAUGGUUUUCAAUAUCUAUGACCUCAUGGUAGAAGAAAUCAUUCCUUUAAUUUCACAAAUUAGAGGCUUCUAAAAAGUCAAAUUUUUCUGUCACUACUUUUAACCAUCUUCACCAUGCCAUUAUUGUAGAAUAACAUAAUUCAGUGUUUAUUAAAUAGAAAAAACAAUGAGUGUAAUUCAUAUAUGCCAACAUCAUUUGUAGCAGAAAUACAGGCUACUCUAUAAAAAAUAUACUGAAUGAAUGACUCUUAUAGUUAGCUUACCUUUAAUAACCUGCUGGGCAUACACUUUCAUCUUGUACCAAUCAGGAAAACACUUUACAAACUUACCAACUGAGAAGAGGUGCCUGAAAGUAUAUGUUGUAUAGAGUACCGUAGAAACAAUUACUCAUAGGACACUUUGGAAGAAACUUGAAUUAUCAAAAUAAUUGAAUCCCUAGCAUUAAGUGAUAUACCUAAUGCUAAAUGAUGAGUUAAUGGGUGCAACACACCAACAUGGCACAUGUAUACACAUAUGUAACAAACCUGCACGAUGUGCACAUGUACCCUAAAACUUAAAGUAUAAUAAUAAAAUAAUAAUAAUAAUUGAAUCCUAUGUCUACUACUUACCAUCUUAUUCAUUAAUGAACAUAUCUCCUUAACUUCAAUUUUCUGAUCUACAAAAUUGGGACAUAAGUAUCUAUCUUGCAGAGCUGCUGUGGGAAUUAUACAUAAUUAGAUAAGAUCGUGGAUCUGAAGGAUUCUAGGAAGAAGUCUGCCAUGGUCAUAUAGCAGGCAUAUUGUUGUGCUAGCUUCAGUCCACCCUUCUUAGAGGCUUGAUCCUCUUUCAUUAUAUCCUGAGUCAUAUGUGAUCAGAAAGAACAAAUUUCUUUUUUUCUUUUCUUUUUUUUUUUUUUUUUUGAGAUGGAGCGUUGCUCUGUUGCCCAGGCUGGAGUGCAGUGGCACGAUCUCAGCUCACUGCAACCUCUGCCUCCCGGGUUCAAGCAAUUCUCUGCCUCAGCCUCCCAAGUAGCUGGGAUUACAGGUGCCCACCAUCACGCCUGGCUAACUUUCUUGUACUUUUAGUAGAGAUGGGGUUUCACCAUCUUGGCCAGGCUGGUCUUGAACUCCUCACCUUGUGAUUCACCCGCCUUGGCCUCCCAAAGUGCUGGGAUUACAGGCAUGAGCCACCGUGCCUGACCAGAAAGAACAAAUUUCUGAACAAAAAGAUCAGAAAGACCAUGACCCUUUGGACGGUGACUAGAAGCUAUCAAACACCUACUAUCUUAAAAAACAACACUGAAAACUGGAAAUGAAUCUAUGUGAUCUAUAAUAUUUUCAGCAAUGACUAAUCCUUUCUUGUACUGUUUUUGCUUAAAGGUAAUUGAAAUACUUAAGAUUGUACAACAUACAACCUGCAGAGUACAUUUCAGAGGGAUGAUGCAUGAGUAAAUAUCGCUUUGGAGCUAAUUUGAUAAAAUAUAUUGUUCCAAAUUAACUUUAGAUUCCAAAGUAAAUUCAGAAAUGGUUUUGAAAUAAUUGUGAAGAAUUACUUCUUACCUAUGUCAAGCAGUAGAUUACAUGCUGAUAUAGUUGGGAUAUUUGUCCCCAGCUAAACCUCAUGUAGAAUUGAAAUCCCCAAUGCUGGGGGGCAGAACCUGGUGGAGGUGUGUGGAUCAUGGAGGUGGGUCACUCAUGGCUUGGUGCUGUCUUCAUGACGUGAGUUCUCACAAGAUCUGGUCAUUAAAAAGUGUAUGGCACUUCCUCUCUCUCUCUCUCUCCUCUCUCUCCUCUCUCUCAAUCUCUCUCUCUCUCUCUUUCUCUCAAUCUCUCUCUCCUCUCUCUCUCUCUCCUCUCUCUCAAUCUCUCUCUCCUGCUUUCACCAUCUGACGUGUUUGCUCCUGCUUCACCUCCUUCCACCAUGACUGUUAGCUUCCUGAGACCUCCACAGAAGCCAAGAGAUAUCAGCAUCCAGCUUUCUAUAAAACCUGCAGAACUAUGAGCCAAUUAAGUCUCUUUUAUUUAUAAAUUAGCCAGUCUCAGGUAUUUCUUUAUAGCAACACAAGAAUGGCUUAUACACGUGCCUUAUCCUGAAUUGCCCAGAGUUCAGACUCUUUUUAAUGGGAGAUGUAAUGGCAUUGUUUUUAGUCAUAAUCUCUCCUGAACAAUGAAACAAAAAAGCUUUCUGCCUGGUUUCUUAAAAGUGCAUGCAGAAUAAACACUUCCUUCUCUCUAAGAAUGGGAGUGAGUAUCUUCCGAAACUUCAUCUCCUGUUAAUGGGCAAUUAAGUACUAUUGGGAAAAGGGGGAACGAUGAGGUUCAUCUGAUUGUGUUUUGUUUAGUUGGGCUUUUAGAGAAUGAAUAGUAAAAAGAGUGUGGGUGUGGAAAUCCAAGAAUAGGCACCGUCAGGUGAUAAAUCUCAAGGUAUAGAAGUAAAAUGAAGAGCCCCUGGAAGACUGAAUACUGAUUCUUGAAAAAGUUCCCAAGGAGAGAGAGGGACCACAACCCAAAAUGGUGGACCAGGGGAGGACAGUGAUGACAGCCUUUGUUCUAGAGCCCAGGGAUUGUGUGGAAAUUGAAUCCCCCAUCUCUUUCAAGACUUCUAAGUCUGGUUUCAGGGAAAUCUUUUGUUGCAUAAUAAAGAAUUUAACUGGCCUUUGAACCUGGUUCCUGGAAGACAGAAUCUAUAUCCUUGGAAUUUCCCAGGUAAUAGAAGAGUCUUUGAUAUUCAUGAUCCCUUGGAUCAAACUUUUGAGUUUAUGCUCAUGAGAUGAGAUGACUGAGAAUGGAAGCUGGUCAACAGAAAGACCUAACAUGUAAUUAGAGAGUUAAAGCUCUGAACCAGCCUGACCUCCAGAAAAGUGAGGGAGUUGGAGCUUGAGUUCAAUAAUGGGGCCAAUGUUUAAUCAAUUACAUCUAUGUAAUGAACAGGGAAGUUUGCUGAAACUUCCCGCUUGGUGAAUACAUCAAUGUGCCAGGAAAGUGAUGUAAGCAGACAGGGAGGGUCUCCAGGGACUAUAGAAGUUUAACCAGCUUGAACAAUCAGCCUGUUUUAUAGCCUCCCACUUUUCAGCCUGUUUUUUACAAACCGUCCAUGGAAUGCAGUCACCUAGUCAGCUGGAACCAGUUCCAGACAGACCCCAGCAACUUAUAGAUGAAUCUGAGUGAAGCUUCCUCAUUACCAUGCUAAAGUCUCUACGCUGGGAGGAGCUACAGAUUCAUCACCAUAACAUGUAACCUAUGUGCUGGCAUAAUGUCUCAGUCUGCACCACUGGUGCCCCUCCUCUACAUGCGAUGAUGCACCUUCUCCCCUCUCCACAACUCCAUAAAACCCACCUGUCACUUUUCCUCGGGGAGACACUGCUUUGGAGAAUAUUCCCGGUGUUCUCCUACCUUGGGACAAGUAAUAAAACUCCUAUAGAUCAAAACCUAUGUUCUCCUGGAGAGUCGUUUGUUACUUGCCAGGCAAAUGAACCAAGUUUUUUGUCUUUUUGUUUCCUUUUUCUUUUUUUUUUUUUCCAGGUAAUAGUGACAAGCCCUUAUUCUACAAGAAGAGAGCACAAAAGCUCUGUUUGAGACCCUCUCAGAAACUGCCCUGUGUGUCUCUUCAUUCAGCUGCUCCUGAGUUGUAUCUUCUACAAUAAAACUAUAAGGAAAACCCAAGAGUUUACACCCAGUAAAUGACCAAAGCAAAAAUGGAAUCAUACAAUUCAUGUCUUUCUUUUUUUUUUUUUUUUUUUUGCUUUCUGUUUUUAAAGACAGGCUAUCACUCUGUUGUCCAGACUGGAGUACAGUGACAUGAUCACAGUUCACUGCAUCCUUGAACUCCUGAGUUUAAGCAAUCCUCCUGCUUCAGCCUCCUGAGUAGCUAGAACUACAGGCACACACCCCCAUGCCCAGCUGAUUUUUAAAUUUUUGUUUGUUUGUUUGUUUGUUUGUUUUCAGAAACAGGGUCUCGCAAUGUUGCCCAGGCUGGUCUCGAACUCCCAGUCUCAACCAAUCCUGCUGCCUCGGCCUCCCAAAGUACUGGGAUUAUAGGUGUGAGCCACUGCGCCUGGCCAAUUCAAGUCUCCUAAGAGCAAAUUGAGCAUUUUUGAAAUGUACCCAUCAGAUGCCCCACUGCAAUCUACUUCAGUGCUGAGAUUUCAGUAUUUGAAAGACCUACUGGAAUUUAUUUUUAAAAUUCUAAAAGAAUACGUGGGCAUGGUCCUUGGAGUUGUGAGUGCUGGAUACAAAUAUGAAGUUACAUGAAGAGGAGUGUGAAAAGAAUUGAAGAAAUUUUAAGUGAUUUUUAAUUUUAUUUUUUAUUAUAAAGGUAAUACGUGUUCAUUGUAAAAAUAUAAACUAUAUUUAAUUUCCCAUAAUUUCACAGCCAGAGAAAACCAUCAGGAAUACGUCAAUAAUUACUGCUGUGCAUGCAGAGGUGAUGGUCGAUAUAUUUAGCCAAUGUGGCAUGCCAGAAGCAGAGGACAGCCCUUACAGCUGCCCGCCUUAGAGAGUGUGCAUAGCUGUACCGCUUGAUACAAGUGCCACAAGAGCUCUGGAUGUAUGCCAUGUUUUUAAUGGAAUCAUACAAUUUUACAGAUUUUCAACCUCCUUUUUAAAAGCUGAAAUAUAUUUUAAACAUCUUUUAAAGUAUGUUUCAAUUUUUCUAUAUACAUAAAGUCUGCACUGGAGUAAAAGUGUGAUCUCCCUUCUGGAAAGAAAAGGCUGUGAUUCACGGUGGCUUUCGUUAUUUAUCAGACAUUCCACGUGGAUUCACCAACCAUCUCUACUUCAAAAGUGCUGGCUGGGAGCGGUGGCUCAUGCCUGUAAUCCCAGCACUUU